GAUGAACGCUGGCGGCGUGCCUAAUACAUGCAAGUCGAGCGAACAGACGAGGAGCUUGCUCCUUUGACGUUAGCGGCGGACGGGUGAGUAACACGUGGAUAACCUACCUAUAAGACUGGGAUAACUUCGGGAAACCGGAGCUAAUACCGGAUAAUAUAUUGAACCGCAUGGUUCAAUAGUGAAAGACGGCUUUGCUGUCACUUAUAGAUGGAUCCGCGCCGCAUUAGCUAGUUGGUAAGGUAACGGCUUACCAAGGCAACGAUGCGUAGCCGACCUGAGAGGGUGAUCGGCCACACUGGAACUGAGACACGGUCCAGACUCCUACGGGAGGCAGCAGUAGGGAAUCUUCCGCAAUGGGCGAAAGCCUGACGGAGCAACGCCGCGUGAGUGAUGAAGGUCUUCGGAUCGUAAAACUCUGUUAUUAGGGAAGAACAAAUGUGUAAUUAACUGUGCACGUCUUGACGGUACCUAAUCAGAAAGCCCCGGCUAACUACGUG
rnacentral:rRNA from 1 species